rnacentral:rRNA from 1 species
GAUUAACGCUAGCGGCAGGCAUAAUACAUGCAAGUUGAACGGCAGCACAGGUAGCAAUACUGGGUGGCGAGUGGCGCACGGGUGCGUAACACGUAUGCAACCUACCCUAUACAGGCGAAUAACCUUUAGAAAUGAGGGCUAAUACGCCGUAGUAUUACAGAUGGGCAUCUAUUUGUAAUUAAAGAUUUAUCGGUAUAGGAUGGGCAUGCGUCCCAUUAGUUAGUUGGUAAGGUAACGGCUUACCAAGACGAUGAUGGGUAGGGGAUCUGAGAGGACUUACCCCCACACUGGUACUGAGACACGGACCAGACUCCUACGGGAGGCAGCAGUAAGGAAUAUUGAGCAAUGGCCGCGAGGCUGACCCAGCCAUGCCGCGUGCAGGAAGACGGCCUUAUGGGUUGUAAACUGCUUUUAUACGGGAAUUAUAGAGUGUACGCGUACAUUUAUGCAAGUAUCGUAUGAAUAAGCAUCGGCUAACUCCGUG